rnacentral:rRNA from 1 species
CCCUUAGACACUCUAGGCGGCACGCGCGCUACAAUGGGUGGAAGAACGUGUUACUGCCUCCGAAAGGAGGGGUGAAUCACGAAUUCUUGCCCGUGAAUGGGAUAGUUUGUUGCAAUUUUCGGACUUGAACUAGGAAUCCCUUGUAAACAUGCUCAAGAAUAGCGUGUUGAAUGCGUCCCUGCCGUUUGUACACACCGCCCGUCGUUUCUUCCGACUGAUACUCAUUGUGAGUUGCAAGGACCCCUUAUUGGGAAAUUGCUGCAAAUGCUUUGUAUUGGAGGAAGAAAAAGUCGUAACA